GAAAUUUUGGUUGUACUACAAAAGGCAUUUAUGUAAAUAAAAUCAAAGAUGAAGGUGAAUUAAAUUCUCUCAUCUGGAUAUCCAGGUGCUCAUCGCGUAGAUCCACUAUGGCGAGUUCUAAGCUCCAUCUGGUUUCCCACUGGGUUCCACACCUAACAUUACUUUAUUGGUCUCUUCCUCCGGUAAGGUUUUUUUCCUUCUUUGAAUUGUGUGUGAGAGGGAAAGGAACAUCCGCCACAUUGAUAGACGUUAUAUGAAAAUUUGAAGAAUCAGAAUUCUGAAUUUUGCUUGGUUGUCUGGAUAUCGGGUAUGGUGUGAUGCCUCUUCCACCUACUUUUUCUUUAGAAUAUCUUUUGUUGAAGAAAGAAAUCCGAAAUUGUCGUUUGCUAUACUUAUCUAAUAGAUGCAAACUAAAGAGGAAGAAACAAACAAGAAAAGAAUGAAGCAGUGCGCCAAGAUGUUAGUGAUAGAGUAAAAAUUUUAACUAGGAGGUUCAAAUAUGAAAGUAAACACACAAAAUAUCAAAGGGUUCAACAUCUAUUAUACAUCAUAAAAGAUAAUUUUAAUCAUAUGUAAACAGUAUAAUUUUUUGCGGACCUCCCUUGCCUAUAUGUGGCUCCGCCCCUACUAGAUGUUUGAUAUAUUAUUUGACUAAAUUUUUCUUGGAGUAAAAUGUAUUACUUGAAAAGAUCCCACAAUAAGUGACUACCAAGAAAUCAGAAGUCAAACUGAAAUUGAAAGUAGAGGAGCUUACUAAUGAAUGACUUGAAAAGAAGAUUAGCUCGCUAUCACAAAAAAAAAAAAAUAUGUAGGAAGAGUCUAUUAAACACUAAAAGAAAAGGAGAUUGUUCUCACGUCUCUGAGACAUACAAAUGAUAAGGUUUACCUGAAGAUUAUUCCGAUUUGAUAAUGUAUAUGUAUAUAGAUAUGUACUUAGAAAAAUAAGACAGAAAAAAAAAACACAGUUCCCAAAA